GAAGUCUUUGAAAGUCGGGCUCGGAUCGAAAGUAACCGUAUUAAUCGCAAACUGUAAGCACGCUCCCCGAGCAGCUGACUUCUGCAGUUUGCGCUUCACUUUGCCCUGCACUGGCCCCUCUGCUUUGUGCACUGAAAUCCGCUAGAAUAAUGCAAAAGUCCCCGCACGCACUGCCCAUCGGGGAACUGAGCUUUGGGGCGACUAUCAAUGUUCCAAGUGGAGCUUGAGCAGAUCGGCAGAGGUGGCGUCCGGUGGAUUCGAGGGCCAGAGGUGGCGAUAAGGAGGAACUAAUGGCGUGGUGGAAUCAAAAGCUGAUUGAGUGCUUGGGACGAAUGGAUUCGGAAUGGUCGUUUGUGCGGCAUCAAUCAAUCCCUAUAAGUAAUAUUCGUAAAAAUGGUUUGGCAAUAGUGGAAAUUUCGAAAAACCCCUUUGUUUACUUCGAAUAUCUGUUAUCGCUGAGAUACUGAUAAGAUACAUUUAAAGCUUGAAACUCAACCAAUAUAUUACAUGAACAUAUGUUACCAAGAUUUCUUAUUCAAAGAAUUAACUUUUAACAAUUGCGAAAAUAAAGAAAAGUAGUUUACCCAAGCAUGAGCAUUUUGCGUUGGUAACCAAAAUGAAUAACAUACUUCCACCAUAGCGAUAAGAAAUCCAAUUGAAUCAUUAAGUUUUUAUAGUUGCUGAUUAAUAACAUCUUGGGAUUUGUGCUCAAGAAGUUUUGAAUAUGUCAUCAAAAUAAAAAUACCACACUCCUAUUUCAAUCUUUAUGAACCACUGUAUCA